CCAGACUCCUACGGGAGGCAGCAGUGAGGAAUAUUGGUCAAUGGGCGCGAGCCUGAACCAGCCAAGUCGCGUGAGGGAUGACGGCCCUACGGGUUGUAAACCUCUUUUGUCGGGGAGCAAAUUCCGCCACGUGUGGCGGAGUCGAGAGUACCCGAAGAAAAAGCAUCGGCUAACUCCGUGCCAGCAGCCGCGGUAAUACGGAGGAUGCGAGCGUUAUCCGGAUUUAUUGGGUUUAAAGGGGGCGUAGGCGGCUGGGCAGGCCGGAAGGAAAGGGCGGGGCCCCAACCCCGGGCCGCCGUUGAAACUGGCGGUCUUGAGUGGGCGAGAAGUAUGCGGAAUGCGUGGUGUAGCGGUGAAAUGCAUAGAUAUCACGCAGAACUCCGAUUGCGAAGGCAGCAUACCGGCGCCCAACUGACGCUGAAGCACGAAAGCGUGGGGAUCGAACAGGAUUAGAUACCCCCGUACGG
rnacentral:rRNA from 1 species